GCAGCAGCCGCGGGAAUACAGAGGGUGCGAGCGUUAAUCGGAUUUACUGGGCGUAAAGCGUGCGUAGGCGGCUAAUUGAGUCGGAUGUGAAAUCCCCGAGCUUAACUCGGGAAUUGCAUUCGAUACUGGUUAGCUAGAGUGUGGGAGAGGAUGGUAGAAUUCCAGGUGUAGCGGUGAAAUGCGUAGAGAUCUGGAGGAAUACCGAUGGCGAAGGCAGCCAUCUGGCCUAACACUGACGCUGAGGUACGAAAGCAUGGGGAGCAAACAGGAUUAGAUACCCCUGUAGUCCCUGUCUCUUAUAA
rnacentral:rRNA from 1 species